GUGCUCACUUUGGCAGCACAUAAAACUGAAAUUAUACAGAGAAGAUUAGCAUGGACCUUGCACAGGGAUGACACGCAAAUUCGUGAAGCAUGCCAUAUUAAA
ensembl:snRNA U6 U6 spliceosomal RNA